rnacentral:rRNA from 1 species
UACGAACUGUGCGAACGUUAUUCGGAAUCACUGGGCUUAAAGGGUGCGUAGGCGGCUGCCUAAGUCAGGUGUGAAAUCUCCCGGCUCAACCGGGAAACUGCGCUUGAUACUGGGCGGCUCGAGUGAGGUAGGGGUGUGUGGAACUUCCGGUGGAGCGGUGAAAUGUGUAGAUAUCGGAAGGAACGCCAGCAGCGGAAAGCGGCACACUGGGCCUUUUCUGACGCUGAGGCACGAAAGCCAGGGAGCGAACGGG